rnacentral:rRNA from 1 species
AAACGACUCUCGGCAACGGAUAUCCCGGCUCUCGCAUCGAUGAAGAACGUAGCGAAAUGCGAUACUUGGUGUGAAUUGCAGAAUCCCGUGAACCACCGAGUUUUUGAACGCAAGUUGCGCCCGAUGCCAUUAGGCUGAGGGCACGUCUGCCUGGGUGUCACGU